AACGAACGCUGGCGGCAUGCCUAACACAUGCAAGUCGAACGAGACCUUCGGGUCUAGUGGCGCACGGGUGCGUAACACGUGGGAAUCUGCCCUUUGCUUCGGAAUAACAGUUAGAAAUGACUGCUAAUACCGGAUGAUGUCGAAAGACCAAAGAUUUAUCGGCAAAGGAUGAGCCCGCGUAGGAUUAGGUAGUUGGUGGGGUAAAGGCCUACCAAGCCGACGAUCCUUAGCUGGUCUGAGAGGAUGAUCAGCCACACUGGGACUGAGACACGGCCCAGACUCCUACGGGAGGCAGCAGUGGGGAAUAUUGGACAAUGGGCGAAAGCCUGAUCCAGCAAUGCCGCGUGAGUGAUGAAGGCCCUAGGGUUGUAAAGCUCUUUUACCAGGGAUGAUAAUGACAGUACCUGGAGAAUAAGCUCCGGCUAACUCCGUG
rnacentral:rRNA from 1 species